rnacentral:rRNA from 1 species
UACGUAGGGGGCUAGCGUUGUCCGGAAUCAUUGGGCGUAAAGAGCGUGUAGGCUGCUCGGUAAGUCCGCUGUAAAAGUCAAAGGCUCAACCUUUGAAUGUCAGUGGAUACUGCCGGGCUAGAGUCCGGAAGAGGCGAGUGGAACUCCUGGUGUAGCGGUGGAAUGCGCAGAUAUCAGGAAGAACACCAACGGCGAAGGCAGCUCGCUGGGACGGUACUGACGCGUGAGAACGCGGA